UUUCUUGCACUUGCCAGACAUCCCUGCUCUUCAAGACCCUCGAAACUGCUGAGGCUGGUCCCCGGCAACUGGCACAUAACAACGUGGGGCUCGAAGGGAAGACCCUAGGGGCAUCUGCCGGCACAGACGCUGUUGCCAGGACUGCCUGUGGAAGGAAACCGACGAGUGGAUGUGCUUACUCACUUGGUGGUGGACCCUAUUGAAGAGGCCAUUGCAUUCCAUCAAUUGCAUCAUCAAAAUUCACAAGCCCUGAGAUACCAAUUUUCUUUGACCAGAGAACAAGCUAGACAAAUUGUUAAAACUUGUCCUCACUGUCCCACUCACCAAACUUCACUCCCUUCUGGGGUAAACCCAUGAGGACUGUCACCUAGAAUAUUAUGACAGAUGGAUGUGACACAUGUGCCUUCUUUUGGAAAGCUUUCUUAUGUACGUGUCUGUAUGGUCACUUGCUCUGGACUUUUUACCACAGCCAGGACAGAAGAGGCCUAUAAGGAUGUUGUGCAGCAUCUCUUUGCAGCUUUUGCACUUAUGGGGAUGCCUAAACAUAUAAAGACUGAUAAUGGUCCAGCCUGCACUUGAAAGGCUUUUCAAGAUUUUUGCCUCAAAUUUUACAUUAAACAAACCACUGGGAUUCCUUUUAACCCUCAAGGACAAGCCAUAAUGGAGAGAUUAAAUCAGUCGUUAAAAAUGCAAAUACAAAAAUUACAGGAGAGAGACUUUAAGUAUCUUUCUCCUCCUCAUUUGCUGCAUCAUGCACUUUUUGUGCUUAAUUACCUUAAUAAAGAUUCUGAGGGAUGUUCUAAUAUAAAAAAAAAUUGAGAAUCCAACAUCUUCCUAAACCUUUGAUGAAAUAAAAAGAUGUACUUUCUUCGACUAAAAAGGUUCAGGCAUUUUACUAUCCUCUGAAAAAGGAUACUCUUGUAUGUUUUCAUAGAGUGCCGAGUCACCAAUUUGGAUACCAAACUGUGUCACUAGACCCUAUGCUGCUGAUCCCAUCGACCCUUCGGAAAAAGCCCUGGCCAAAUCGCAAGCAGCAUCAGAGCCUACUUCCUAAUAUGGUCCAGCAGCUGGAUAAAGUUUUGACUUUCGCCUCUGCUCGUCUGAAUGGACAGGGAAGCACUUCUCCUGUCCCGUUGCCUACUCCUGACCAGUUAUGACCUACUCUUGACUUUUUGAAUUAAUUCAGCAGGCUAAGGAGAACGUGGAAAAGUUGGGGAUACCGGUGACUCAUCUCAGCAUCCUUUGGGCUGUUUUCUCACUGCUGAUAUUGCAGGUAUUUGCUGCUGUGGAUCUUUCUCCUACAGCUCAUUAUUGGACUUAUUUUCCUGAUCCUCCUCUUUUUCAUCAUGCUACUUGGAAGGAUGGUCCUAUUAAGGUUACUAUUAAUAAUACUCAUUUACUUGGAGGAGAGAAUAAUACAUACUUAAAAGAAGAGAUGCUUAAAGAGGUAACAACUACUCUGGUUUAGCUGACGUCCUUCCUAUCUGUUUUACUGUCGCUUUAAAUCACCCAGGAUGUUUUCAGUUACAGGAACGGCAGUUAAUUUCUGAUUUUCCUUCUCUGUUAGAGCGUUCUGAUCAGGCUCACAAUAGAGAUGUUUGGUUUUUGAAGCUUUUUCUUCCUCCUCGAGGGGGCUCAGCCUUUGAGCAGACUCCCUCUGUCCUUCCUUCUCGCUUACCUCCUUGCUUGGAUGCUGGGGAAUUGGAGAGUGCUUGGACAAAGGUUCCUGAUGAUGGUUAUCCGCUUUGGUGGUUUUGUGGUUUUGCACAGAAGACUGUUUCUCCGAAACCUUUCAAUACUUCCUCUUUCUUGCUGAAGGACUGGUCUGUUAGCAGUCCGGGUUUUGACUACAAGUCACAGCUUGAUUCAGUUGCGCCACACAAAGGGAGACUCUCAUCCUCCAUUUUCGCCUGCCAAUGCCUGGUAUCCUCCUAGCUGGAUUUCACUGUUUUUCAACCUUUUUAUCUUUCUCAAUCAUUUCCUGUUCAACUUAAUUUAUUUAGACUUUUUACGACAACACAUAAGGUUACUUUGCUGAGGCCACACUCCAAUGUUAAACAAACUUCUGCUCCUGUACAGGCCUGUGUGGGUGCUCCAUAUAGCAUUCUCUCUACAGGGACGGAUGGCGAUGACAUUUAUCAUGUUUCUUGUAUUGUGUUUUAUCUAACUGUCUUUCUUCCACUCCUAAGGGUAUUUUCCUUAUUUUGCAUCAGCCUCCUUUUUUGCUUCUGCCGGUUGCUGUUAAUGUGACAUGGUUUGCUACUCCUGGCUUAGAAGCAUUACAUCAAGCUACUGUUGCUCUUGUUGGGCCUAAGGACUUUGUGGCUGCUCUUAUUUUGGGUAUCACACUUACAGGUAUAGUUCUUUCUUUUCCUAUGUCUACCACUUCUCUUAUGAAGGAGGUGCAUCCCACACAUCAUAUUGAUCAGCUCUCUAGGAAUGUUAAUGUGACAUUGAUGAUUCAGGAAUUAAUGAUUCUGAAAAGACAGAGGUCUUGAGGAUAAACUUAAUGCUUUGGAAGAACAGUACUGUUUACUGAAAAUGAGAUACAAAAUAUCAAGAUGAGAUUGGCAGUACAAUGCCACUCUAUGUUUAAAUGGAUGUGUCACUCUUCUUCAGUAUAAUGCGUCCCAGCAUAACUGGGAUACUAUCCAAAAACAUAUUCAGGGUGUUUGGAAUCAUUCCUCCUUUUCUAUGGAUAUUACUCAUUUACAUCACCAAACUGCUGAAAUUAGUAAGUCACCUGUAGGUUCCUCCUCUCUUGAGGUUGCUGCUGCUUUUACAUCCUCGGUGCAGUCUUAUACUGGCAGUUUGAAUUAAAAUACAUUCAUCUAUAAUGUUGCCAUCCUGGAGGUCUUUUUCUAAUUGUUUUAAUGCUUUUUCCAGUCCUCAUAGGACUAGUUUGUUCCACUACCUCUUCUCUAAUGGUGGAUGUUCGCACCCUCCACCUAAAACAAAAAGGGGGAGAUGCCAGAGACGGCACAGGAAAAGCCCGAAGUGUUGCUAGUGGAUUCUGUGCUGGAGGUACCCGAGAAUGAGGAUAUCAAUCCCUCCAGUGUAAUCUGUGCUGGAGGUACCCGAGAAUGAGGAUAUCGAUCCCUCCAGUGGAUUCUGUGCUGCAGGUACCCGAGAAUAAGGACAUCGAUCCCUCCAGUGGAUUCUGUGCUGCAGGUACCCAAGAAUGAGGACAUCGAUCCCUCCAGUGGAUUCUGUGCUGGAGGUACCCGAGAAUGAGGACAUCGAUCCCUCCAGUGGAUUCUGUGCUGCAGGUACCCGAGAAUGAGGACAUCGAUCCCUCCAGUGGAUUCUGUGCUGGAGGUACCCGAGAUGAGGACAUCGAUCCCUCCAGGCCUGCCCCGCCAGACGUUCUACUAAGCCUGCCUUCUGUGAGCCAGAAGAAAACCACCCUUGUGUCCCGAGGGCAGACUUUAUGGCGUAUGCAUGUCAUGUUCUCACCCAUCCAACUGUUACUGGUUCUUGUAAUCUUCCUAAUCUACUUGUUCUUUAUGAUUUUCUCUCUCUCCUGCAGUGGUUUCCAUGAAAUUAGAAAUGAUAUUGAGAUUGUGACAGUGGCAGGAGUUAAAGCUGUUAUGCAGGUCAUAGGAAAAACCUGAAGCCUGAGGAAGCUCUUCAGGCAUGGAACAAUUAUACAGAAUGCAAUUGUUCAGAAUUAUAGCGUAUGGGAUGCGAUACAGAGUCAGGCUGAAUUAAAUUUAGUGCUUGUGCAAAAUUCAACCUUAGAUGACCCGAGAACUCUGCCUCUGCAUGCUAAGCACAGUCCCAAAGAAGAAAUCAUUUAAAACCCAGAAGGCUGGUGGCAGAAAACUGUAGAUGGAGUGACAUAUAGAUGGGAUAAAAGACAAGAGUUGUCCAGAACUAGUUAAAAGACACUUGACGAAUUACAGAGUGACGAAGAAGGACUCAAGCUGAGAGGAAGCUGGCAGUCUGGCACCUUAAACCACUGCUUGUACUUCUGUGCUUUCUGAGCAACCACAAGUAGAUGGCCUCUGGGGUGAUUGCCUCAGAUGUUCUGAUAAUUAUCAACCUGCAAAAGAAUAAGCUGGUACGCUUUGGUUCUCUGCCUGAAAACUUCUAUGUGCGAUCAAGGGGUAUGGGGUACACUUUGCUGAUUUCCAAAAAGAAUUUUUGAAACUAUUGUGAAAAACCCAAUCACCUGUUGAAUUUUCUCAUCCCCUAUUUCCUCUAUUUAUUUAUUUAUUUAUUAUUACAAUAAAAGACUGGGGUUGAGUGGGAUUGGGAGAAGGCAGAGAAGACGCACAUCUCCAGAUCUGACAAGACUCGUCAGCUUGCACCAACCCAUGUAUUCAAGCCCUUUUCUUGUGCCUGCCAGACAUCCCUGCUCUUCAAGACCCUUGAAACUGCU